UCCAAUCCAUUUUUAUUAGCUAACAUGAAGAAAAAAUUUCAAGUCUUGUUAGCCGUGCUAACUAUCUACUCUCUUCUUGUGCAAGUAAUAGGGGUGUCACCGAAUGAUGAACAAUAUUGUUUUACAUAUUCUGAGAAUAAAGAUUUGACAUGUUCAAUGGAAGAAUGUAAAUAUGAGUGUACAAAGGCGUGGAAAGGAGUCGGUAUUUGCGAGCAGACAAGCCCAAAAGGAGACAGGAAGUGUUACUGCCUAUAUAAAUGCCUUUGAAGACCAAAUGACUUAGCAAUGUCUUGUAUCCACUUUUGGCUUGUGGACAUUCAUUAGUAAAUAAAACCCGGUAGUCGGAUUUUCCAUCUCCAAGGAAAACCGCUUUGAUCUCCUAUGAGAAAAAUUUCCAACAAAAUUGAAUAGGUUGGAAAUAUUAAAUUGAAUAAAAUUGUUUUAAAUGUAUUGGUCGAUUCAAGCAAACCCAAAUUAUGACCUCGUUGAGUUAGAAAUUUGGGUUGUUGUAAUGUGUAGAAAAAAAAAAUAGUUCGAUGAAUUAUUGAUUUGGUUAAAAAGAA